AUGCAUUUAAUUUGCAUGAUGAUAUAUUUACUUUAUAUUUCCAUUAUGAUUAGAAAUUUGGGAUGAUUUAUUUCCAACACUCUAUAUCUAAGUAACAUCACAAUUUGAUGUAAAAACUUCACUGCAUUUCUUUGGUGUAGUGCACACAAGGAAACUGAGGCACCUUAAGCAACCAAAGAAAGAAACCUUAAGUAAUCAACCAACAUCCCAAUAAACAGAGUAUAUACCAGAAAGUAUUUCUGUACUCAAAACUCUCCUGCUGUUUCAGUUUCUAUUAUUUGCCUCAUUGGUUGUGUUUGUUUGUUUGUUUUUAAUGUGUGACAAAGUAAGAGAAGUUCCUAAAAUCAGAGAAGAAAAGCUUUGAAGUAUGCAGGGGUUGUGUUUCUUGCCAUGGAGACCACAUGCCUAUGAAUGUUUGCAGCUGCCGGCUUCCAGUAACAGAUGCUGAAAAAGAAGGUGGUCUUGCCAAGGGGAUGGCUGCACCCAGAGCCUUCCAGCACAGACAACCAGGCAUGAAAGUGACAAUAACUGUAGUUCAUAUGCCAGCAGCUUCCACAGGAAGGCAUAUCUCGCUGGCCUUGGUCUCAUCAACACCAACAGCAGUACGUCUCCACUAUUUCUACCAACUUAUACAUGCUGAAAUGCAAGGCAAGGAAAGGGGGAUGGAGGGAUUUCCUUGUGAUUUAACGUCCGAAGAGUUUGUCAUGUUAUAUAUAUAUUUGCACCUCUUGAUAAAAGCCACAGACUAAAUUAUCUCUCUUUUAUUAAGUUUCCAGAAAGAAAGAAAUAGAAUAAAUUAAUAUUAGAAAUAUUAAUUAUUGUAACA
rnacentral:lncRNA from 1 species